rnacentral:lncRNA from 1 species
GCGCAAACAAAGACGAAGCUUGCUUCUAUAACAAAGUACAUGUCGACAUGGCCAACAUUAGCAUAGCAGAAUACCAAGAGACAUUUUAAUUCAAAAUUAUCCAGUCACUAACUUACAGAACAGAUAAUCAACUUUCAAAAUUCUUUGUUAAAGAAAGCCCUUCAAUCACAUUUGAAACUCAGUUUGCAAAGAUAUUUGAUAUACGCUUAACCCUUAAUUUUUAAUUCUACAAAACAAAGAUUUUUACACAAUCAAAUUAUUUCCUAAAUUAUUUUACAAAAACUAACAGGUGUCCGGUCGCUCACCUUAACGCAGCUUCAAAGAUAAAAGAUAUCCAAUCGAAACUGUGCAGAAAUUCAAUCGUCGGAACCUAAAAUAGAGACACGCGAUU